GGCCUUGACAUCCACGGAAUUUGGCAGAGAUGCCUUAGUGCCUUCGGGAACCGUGAGACAGGUGCUGCAUGGCUGUCGUCAGCUCGUGUUGUGAAAUGUUGGGUUAAGUCCCGCAACGAGCGCAACCCUUAUCCUUUGUUGCCAGCGAUUCGGUCGGGAACUCAAAGGAGACUGCCGGUGAUAAACCGGAGGAAGGUGGGGAUGACGUCAAGUCAUCAUGGCCCUUACGGCCAGGGCUACACACGUGCUACAAUGGCGCAUACAAAGAGAAGCGACCUCGCGAGAGCAAGCGGACCUCAUAAAGUGCGUCGUAGUCCGGAUUGGAGUCUGCAACUCGACUCCAUGAAGUCGGAAUCGCUAGUAAUCGUAGAUCAGAAUGCUACGGUGAAUACGUUCCCGGGCCUUGUACACACCGCCCGUCACACCAUGGGAGUGGGUUGCAAAAGAAGUAGGUAGCUUAACCUUCGGGAGGGCGCUUACCACUUUGUGAUUCAUGACUGGGGUGAAGUCGUAACAAGGUAGGCGUACUACA
rnacentral:rRNA from 1 species